rnacentral:rRNA from 1 species
UACAGAGGGGGCAAGCGUUGUUCGGAAUUACUGGGCGUAAAGGGCGCGUAGGCGGCCUGCUAAGUCGAACGUGAAAUCCCUGGGCUCAACCCGGGAACUGCGUCCGAUACUGGUUGGCUUGAAUCCGGGAGAGGGAAUGUGGAAUUCCAGGUGUAGCGGUGAAAUGCGUAGAUAUCUGGAGGAACACCGGUGGCGAAGGCGACAUCCUGGACCGGUAUUGACGCUGAGGCGCGAAAGCCAGGGGAGCCAAAGCGGG